UACGGGGGGAGCGAACGUUGUUCGGAAUUACUGGGCGUAAAGGGCGUGCAGGCGGCUCGGUAAGAGGGAUGUGAAAUGCCCUGGCUCAACCAGGGAACUGCAUCUCUGACUGCCGAGCUUGAGCAUGGGAGAGGAUGCGAGAAUUCCCGGUGUAGCGGUGAAAUGCAUUGAUAUCGGGAGGAAUACCAGUGGCGAAGGCGCGCAUCUGGCCCAUUGCUGACGCUCAGGCGCGAAAGCUAGGGGAGCAAACAGG
rnacentral:rRNA from 1 species